UGCCUCAGUAACGGCGAGUGAAGCGGCAAGAGCUCAAAUUUGAAAUCUGGCCCCCUCGGGGUCCGAGUUGUAAUUUGCAGAGGAUGCUUCGGGUGCGGUCCCCAUCUAAGUGCCCUGGAACGGGCCGUCAUAGAGGGUGAGAAUCCCGUCUGGGAUGGGCGGCCGCGCCCGUGUGAAGCUCCUUCGACGAGUCGAGUUGUUUGGGAAUGCAGCUCUAAGCGGGUGGUAAAUUUCAUCUAAAGCUAAAUACUGGCCGGAGACCGAUAGCGCACAAGUAGAGUGAUCGAAAGAUGAAAAGCACUUUGAAAAAGAGAGUUAAACAGCACGUGAAAUUGUUGAAAGGGAAGCGUUGUCCACCAGACUCGCCCGGGGGGGUUCAGCCGGCACGUGUGCCGGUGUACUCCUCUCCGGGCGGGCCAGCAUCGGUUUGGGCGGCUGGUGAAAGGCCCCGGGAAUGUACCACCCUCCGGGGUGUCUUAUAGCCCGGGGUGCCAUACAGCCAGCCUGGACCGAGGCCCGCGCUUCGGCGAGGAUGCUGGCGUAAUGGUGGUCAACGGCCCGUCUU
rnacentral:sRNA from 1 species